UACGUAGGGGGCAAGCGUUAUCCGGAUUUACUGGGUGUAAAGGGAGCGUAGACGGCUAAUCAAGUCAGAAGUGAAAACCCAGGGCUCAACCUUGGGACUGCUUUUGAAACUGAGUAGCUAGAGUGCAGGAGAGGUAAGCGGAAUUCCUAGUGUAGCGGUGAAAUGCGUAGAUAUAAGGAAGAACACCAGUGGCGAAGGCGGAUGACUGGACGGCAACUGACGGUGAGGCGCGAAAGCGUGGGGAGCAAACAGG
rnacentral:rRNA from 1 species